rnacentral:rRNA from 1 species
UAGUAACGGCGAGUGAACAGGGAACAGUCCAGCGCUGAAUCUCGACGCCUCGGUGUCGCGACGUGUAGCGUAUAGGCGGUGUGCUUGGCCGUGGCCAAAGGCACAAGUUUCCCAUGACCGGGGCGCCAGAGAAGGUGAUAGACCUGUAGCGCCUGAGGCCGUGGUCAAUUGCGCCGUCUUGGAGUCGGGUUGUUUGGGAUCGCAGCCCAAAGUAGGUGGUAAACUUCAUCUAAGACUAAAUACUCCCACGAGACCGAUAGCGAACAAGUACCGUGAGGGAAAGUUGAAAAGCACUUUGAAGAGAGAGUUAAAGAGGACGUGAAACCGGUAGGAUGGAAACGGAUAGAGCUAGCGAAGUCGCUCGCAUUCAGCCGAAGGCACGUGGUCGCCGGUGGUUUGGUUGCUAAUCAUGCCAGACUGCCGUCCGGUUGUGGGCUGAGGUGCAUUUGCGGGCGUAUGCGCUGAGACUGGUGGGAUCGCUGCUGGACCCGUGUUCUAGAGGCCGCCCUCUGGGCGGAACCUGGUCGCGGUUACGGCUGUUGGCCCUGCUUGUGUGCUUUUGUGCGGCGGAUCUUGGCUGCGCUGCUGUCUCCGGGCGGUGGUAUCGCAUGCGAUGCUUAGCUUGGGGCCUGUGGUUCGGUCCGGGUUCCUGCGCAGCAUCUCGGUGUAGAAGCUGGUCAUCUCUCCGACCCGUCUUGAAACACGGACCAAGGAGUUUAGCGUAUGCGCGAGUCAUUGGGUGCGAAAACCCAUAGGCGUAAUGAAAGUGAAGGCUCGGUUGCCGGGCUGACAUGUGAGUGCUAGGCUUCGGCUAUGGCACGCAGCAUGGUCCCGUUCCAGUCGCUUGCGACGGAGCGGAGACAGAGCGUAUGCGCUGAGACCCGAAAGAUGGUGAACUAUUCCUGAGCAGGACGAAGCCAGAGGAAACUCUGGUGGAAGUCCGAAGCGAUUCUGACGUGCAAAUCGAUCGUCUGAC